rnacentral:lncRNA from 1 species
GGGAGGUGUCCAUUCAGCCCAGGCUCUGAGGAGAAGAGCGCCAUUGACACCAGCUGGCACCCAGCCACUGAACUUCACAGCGCCUACGCCCCCAACCAAGAUGUUAACCAGACCCUUCAGCUUUCCCUCUGCUCUCUGCCUUUAACCUGGGCCAACUAGGUUGGGAACUACACUGCAGCGCGGCCUCAAAAAGCACACUUGUUGGAAUUGUCCUUCGAAUGCUGCUGUUCUCCCAUGGGAAUCAGAAAUCCCAGGGCCUGCGUGCUUAACCCUUUCCACACCAUGGACACGCCUCAGGUUCUAAAGAGCAGAGCAUGUCACAGAGGCAGACCAUGACCCUGGCUCAUAAUCUCAAAGGCCAGCUUCAGGGAUGUCCACAUGGAGAAGAGAAAAUGACCAGAGAUCAGAUCAAAGUGAAAGAUGUAGCCCACAGUGUUGCUCACGAUUUCAGAGGAGAAUUGAAAGUGAGGAGGAAUGGAAUAUUCACAAGUGUCUACUUGUCAACAAAGCGUGCCAGGAUGCUGUGAGAAUUAAAUUACAUAGUAGCUGCAAAAUAAUUUGGCUUUCUUGGAGUUGGACGCUGCCUGAACCUGAGUAA